rnacentral:rRNA from 1 species
AGUGAACGCUGGCGGUAGGCCUAACACAUGCAAGUCGAACGGCAGCACAGUAAGAGCUUGCUCUUACGGGUUGCGAGUGGCGGACGGGUGAGGAAUACAUCGGAAUCUACUUUUUCGUGGGGGAUAACGUAGGGAAACUUACGCUAAUACCGCAUACGACCUACGGGUGAAAGCAGGGGAUCUUCGGACCUUGCGCGAUUGAAUGAGCCGAUGUCGGAUUAGCUAGUUGGCGGGGUAAAGGCCCACCAAGGCGACGAUCCGUAGCUGGUCUGAGAGGAUGAUCAGCCACACUGGAACUGAGACACGGUCCAGACUCCUACGGGAGGCAGCAGUGGGGAAUAUUGGACAAUGGGCGCAAGCCUGAUCCAGCCAUACCGCGUGGGUGAAGGAGGCCUUCGGGUUGUAAAGCCCUUUUGUUGGGAAAGAAAAGCAGCAGGUUAAUACCCCGCUGUUCUGACGGUACCCGAAGAAUAAGCACCGGCUAACUUCGUG